UACAGAGGGGGCAAGCGUUGUUCGGAAUUACUGGGCGUAAAGGGCGCGUAGGCGGCCUGCUAAGUCGAACGUGAAAUCCCUGGGCUCAACCCAGGAACUGCGUCCGAUACUGGUUGGCUUGAAUCCGGGAGAGGGAUGUGGAAUUCCAGGUGUAGCGGUGAAAUGCGUAGAUAUCAGGAGGAACACCGGUGGCGAAGGCGGGUCUCUGGGCCGAUACUGACGCUGAGAAGCGAAAGCGUGGGGAGCGAACAGG
rnacentral:rRNA from 1 species